AACAUUUGUAGUUACUUUCCCUGUUAUUUUUAAUUCAUGUUUUUUUUUUCCCCAAAUUUGUGUAUGUGAAUGUGAAAACGCAAUUUUAAACCACUACUUAACAGUUGACAUUUUCAGGUAUAGAUACUUUUCAUGUUACCCUAUUUUAUUUGAUCAGUUAUCGUUUGCUCUUAUGAACAUGCUCACGCUGUGAUUACUAAUUCUUCAGACUCCUGACGUCAUGAAUCAUUUCACGAACGAAUCAGACCGGGCGCGUGGCCGGUUCUCUCAUCUCGUUCUCUCGUUCUCUCCGCGUUUUCGUUCUUCCGAAUCUUUCAAGGUACCGGCUCUCAAAGAGCCGGUUGGUUCUCUCGUUCUCUCCGCAUUUUCGUUCUACCGAAUCUUUCAAGGUACCGGCUCUCAAAGAGCCGGUUCUUUACAUCGCGAACGAAUCGCAAGAUUUCGUUCUCUCAAAGAUUCGUUCUUUUUGAACGAAUCGUUAACGAACGACCCAUCACUAGUUCCAUCAAGUGGAGCUUUUCUUCAAGAUGGCUGUCGUCAGGGGUGUUUUUGACCGUGAUUUUAACGAAUUUAUUGCGUAUGUGAGGGAUAAUCCAUAUGCACCUGCACCGAGGCGAUAUUUGAGGGAUGUGGAUAAUCCAUUAGAGUUUUUUAGCGACAGUGAGAUUGUCAGACGUUUUCGAUUUUCAAAGGAAACCGUAAAUGAUGUUAUUGUUCCACUUCUGACUCCAGACAAUGGUAAUAAUCGGGGCCUGCACUGCUGCUCUGCGAUUUAAUGAUUGUCUGUGGUGAUUAGAACCAUUUGAAUCAGUCUACCGUGUGCAGAAUCGUGAAGGUGGUAUCUCAAGAUCUGGCUGCACAUCUGCAAGAGUAUGUGCAUUUCCCUGGUGUUCAACAAGUCAGGGAAAACACACUUAAUUUUUUUGAAGUGGGUGGCUUCCCGGGAGUGAGUGGAUGCAUUGACUGCACUCACGUGGGGAUAAGCAGCCCAGGAGGUCAGUUUGCCGAACUGUAUCGAAACAGCAAGCAGUACAUGUCACUGAAUGUCCAGGUAACUUUGUAUUUGUGAAGCAAUAUGUAUGUGUGUGUAUAUAUUGUUACAUCAUUAAUAGUUUGAAUUUAGCUUUUAUUUUUGAAAUUUUUGUCUUCCUGCAAAGUGUUUAUGUUCUCAGGUUGUUAGUGGACCAAAUUUGGAGAUCCUGGACAUAGUUACAAGAUGGCCUGGCAGUACCCAUGACUCUCGUAUCUUCAAUAACAGUAGAGUCAUGGUUCGUUUUGAAACGAAGACUCUGCCUGGACAUCUUCUGGGAGAUAGAUAAUGGAUAUCCUCAGUUGGAAUAUUUGUACACUCCAUUAUUGGCCCCUGUAACUCCUGCAGAUAUCCAAUACAACACUGCUCACAAGAAAACCAGGAACCUGGUGGAACGAUUGUUUGGUGUUUGGAAGCGAAGAUUCGCAUGCCUUGGGCAUCUGCUGCGAACAAAGCUCCAAACAUCAAGCACAGUAAUUCUUGCUUGUGCUGUGCUGCACAACGUGGCGAGCCUCUGCCGCCUCCAGGCGAUGAGAACCAUCUGCCUGCAGUGCCUGUGGCAGAUGUGCAGCCCCGAAAAAACCGUGGAGCAGCAAUCCGAAGAGGGUUUAUUGAGCGACAUUUUGAUUAAAUUUAUUAUUAUGAAGUUAUCAUAUUUGGGUUCAGUUAACACAACUAUCUUGUCUGGACAAACUUUACUGAAAUUUGGUUUUGUAAAUACAUACAGUGUUUUUUACAUCCUGUAACUAUACACUAUGUUCAGAUGUCUAGUCCAUGUUAUAUAACUUGGGAAAGUUUCUACAUUUUUAAAUUGUUUAAUUCAAUGUAUGAUUUCAGAUGAGCCUACCAUGGUUUCAUAGGCCUCUUGGGGAAACUCUCCAUGUAAAAAAAAGAGUUAACGCAUUGGGCACUGUACCUCUUGAGACCUGUCUCAAAGGUGAUGUGGAAACCAGUGCAAAGCCCAGAAGAAAAGGAGUUCCAGUGGAUCAUGGAGAAAACUUGUGAGUUACUGUAAGUUUUUACCUUGUGUAUAGUUUUCGAUUUGUUUACUAUGUUCAGUAAGUUUAAAAUGUUUAUUUUUCUUAGCCCUAAAAUGUUUCAACCUAGGUUAUAUUCAUUUAUAUUUUGUUUUCAAUUUCAAGUACAUAUACACAUAAAAUAAAUAACAUUCACUCGCCAAUAAUGUGGUUGAAAUUACAUGUUGUCUGAUACACAUUAUUAUAUACAUGUUAUAUACAUAUCAGAUACUCUUUGGUGGUACUGCCAUCAAAAGAAACCAAGGGCACAUUAGAAAUAGGUCAUGUUUUUUUAAAGCAUUACAUACAUUGGAUUGAUGUUACGAGUAAUUGGACAAAUGUUAAUCUGUUAAAAUAUUUUACAUAUGGUACCAGUAAUUUCUGAGCUUGGCAGCUUUUAGGACACAAUAUGAAUUAUAAUUGUUAGGUCUGUUACAUUAAUAAUAUGCAACAGCUUUAUUAAACUGGUAAUUGAUCUAUGAUUAAUUUUUCUUAACAAAUCUAUACAACCUUAAGCUUUAUUUUAAAUAGGUACAAUAUUUCCAGUACUGCUUACAUACAAUAUAUCCAGAAACUUAGCAAAUAAGUGCAGUUUACAUUAACGGAAAAAAAAUAACCGGUACAAACCAUUGUCGUGACUUGCUGAAACAAUACAUACUUCAAGAAAAAUGCAUUGGUUUCGUCACCUUAUGAGGCAGGUCUAAAUGAGUGUAUAAAGGCAUUUUUCUCACAAUGUUUAUUUUACAUAUAUAUAAUUACAAACCUCAUUGUUAAACUUUUAACAAGAUUUCAAGUGUUGGUUGUAUAAUGACAGUUACAAUCACAAUCACAUUUGGUUAGCAAUAUUGUCACGUGCACCUAGCCGGUGCCACCGCCAUUUCUGUCACGUCUCACUUUCAGAGGGGGGAGAGAAUCGUAGCUCUUUACAUAGAAACAACUCGCUUGGCAUCAACUAGUCUUAACUUCAUAAAAUACUUUACUGUACCUAGGAUCAUAGGUUCGUCAUCCCGUACAGGAUGUCUGGUGAGAGCUGAACUAAGGAGAUUUUGCAAAAUAACAUAAUACUUAAUUAAAAUUAUUUUAUUCUUAAAGUCAAAUACUCAACAUCAUUUUAAAGAACAUUUAAAUAGCGGGAUUACAAUUUAAAACAAUAAUCUCUUUACUUCCUUAACGAUUGAACGACCUUACAAGAGAGAGAAUGAGAGAACUUCACUAAACACUUCCCUAGUCCUUCCGAAUACCUCAAAUCAUAACAAAGAUAAGUCCAUACUCACAUUUUCCGAAAAGCCUUUCUUGAUCGAUUACUUUAAAAAAAUAACGUAGGGGCCUCUCCUGCCCUUGAAAUCCCGAACGAACAUUACAUUUUAAAAACUAUGACGCGUGACCCCUGACGAGGGCCAUAGCCUCCGCCCGAAAGCUUGACGACUACAUUAUGACCUAACUUAAACUACAUCACGAACGAACUAACUAAACAACUCGUGGCCACAGGUGAGACGCAUAGCCUCCGCCUGAGUGAGCCUGAAUUCCUACAUCACGAACGAACUAACAACUCGUGACCACAGGUGAGACGCAUAGCCUCCGCCUG